UCAGAGCACAUGUUGUCAGACUUCCCUCAUCCUCUGGAAAAGUUCUGGAAUCCCAGAAACCAUCAAACUACCGGAAGCUGAGCAUCCACUUUACCUGUUUAUUCUUCAGUAAUUAUAGAUUUCUUCAGGCAGUAACUUCUUCUGGCAGUUUAAGAUAAGAUAAGAUAAGAUAAGAUAAGAUAAGAUAAGAUAAGAUGAACUUUAUUAAUCCCGAAGGAAAUUUUGAACACCAGUUGCUCAUGCCCCAUACAAAAGCUUACAUAUAUUAACAGGCAGAGCAGCAGGUUGGCAGCUCUCCUGCAACGGUGGCACCAUCUUGACUGUUUUUCUGACAUAUAACUAAAUUAUCACAUUUUCCUUUUAACCAAAGCCUGACUGUGGGUUGGGGGUCAUGGAGACUGGUCCACACAGGUACAAAAUGAGUUUGGAAGGUAAAGAUUUGAUUUUAGAGUCAGGUUUAUGGUUAGGUAAAGGGUCAGGUUAAAGGUCAGGUUAAGGAUCGGGUUUAGGGUCAAGUUAAGGGUCAGGUUAAGGACCAGGUUAAGGAUCGGGUUAAGGGUCAGGUUAAACGUCAGGUUUAGUGUAAAGUUAAGGGUCAGGUUAAGGAUCGAGUUAAGGGUCAGGUUAAAGGUCAGGUUAAGGAUCAGGUUAAGGAUCAGGUUAAGGGUCAGGUUAAAGGUCAGGUUAAGAGUCAGGUUAAGGAUCAGGUUAAGGAUCAGGUUAAGGGUCAGGUUAAGGAUCGGGUUAAGGGUCAGGUUAAAGAUCAGGUUUAUGGUCGGGUUAAAGAUCAGGGUUUAGGGUCAAGCAAUCAGUUGGUCAGCCAUAACUGUAGGUUAUGACUUCCUUGUGAACAGUGUAUAAAAAGAAAAACAAAAACGUGUUAGUAUGAAAAUGUUAAGUGACUUGCGGUAUUUAUUGGGGCAGGUGUGGCUCAGGGCUUAGCCUGGUCAUUCUCCACCAGAUAGAGCCAAAGGUUUGAGUCCUACCUCAUUACUUGACAUUGACACUGAACCCCACAUUGCUCCUGAGAUACUCAUAGGUGUACGAUUGCAUUGCUUACUCUAUAUAAUGUACACGUGGUUAGCAAGGGGAACAAGAGCUGCACCCACCAUACCCACAACCCUGGCCUGUGGGGGCAGCCUUUUGAUCCGGGGGUGCUUCAGAUGGUCAGGUCUGCCUUUUUAAAUGUUAAAAAUCCUUAAUCUCUAACAAUUCUUCUGCUUUUACUCUUCA